AGAGAAUCCAUAAAAGCAACGGGACAAAAUAAUUCAACAACGUCUGCAAGAUUCGGAAGAGGCACUGGAGAUUAUUGAGAUGGCUGGUAAUGGAGAUUUGGGCAGACUGACUUGCAAUCCUGCUAGUGUUACUUAAAUCACAAUGCUGAUUUAGUUAUCAAGACAGUAAAUACAAGACAUGUUAGUAUUUUAAGACCCAGGUUUUUUUUUUCCUUCCAAAAUAGCACAACAUGACGUGUUGGUUUUGCUCCAGUAUUUCACUUGUGUUUGUUCACAGCAGGUUACAGCUGUUUAAGACAUCUGGCUUUAAUCAAAAUCUGUAAAGACACUGUUUUCCACAUAAUCGUAAAACUACUCAUCAAUUUGCAAACAAAUAACAGAGAUAAAAUACAUGUUUUAUUUUGCAAAAA